AGAACCUUCCAAGCAGACACAAUGGUAAGAAUGGUGUCUGUCCUGCUGUCUCUGCUGCUGCUUCUGGGUCCUGCUGUCCUCCAGGAGACCCGAGAUGGGUGACUCAGGGAUCCAGGCUGUUUGCAUCUUGGGACUCUUCUGUUUCAUCCUGUGGCCUCCACAGUCAACGAAAGGGAUAAGAGACCGUAGGGGCAAGCCAGAUGGUAGAGCCUUGGACCAGAAGAAAGACAUCAGUCACUUCCACUCACAUUCUUGUUUGACAAAACUCAGUCACAUGGUUCCAAUCUAUCUAUAAGGAGGCUGAGAAAUGUUAACUUCUUCUGUGCCAAGCAGAUUAAACUCUGUAGUGAAGAAA
ensembl:lncRNA AZGP1P1 AZGP1 pseudogene 1